ensembl:lncRNA
AUGGGUAAAAGGAUUCCAGCCAGUAACUUUCUUCACCGUUACACCCCCAGCAAUGGGUAUUUCUGUUGUAUAGUGGUGAAACAUGGAGGGUUCCCUACAACCCUCCUUACCAAAAGGCACUCAUGUGGAGGUAAUGUUUGGUUCCAUUUUAAACACAUCCAAAUUAUUAUCCCCAACUUGCGGCAGCCAAUUUCAUACAUGAUUUUUGUGGCAAAGGCCUUUUUGCUGCUUCCAAAUCUACUUCUCAUAAACAUAACAGGAUGUCUUAGGAGUUCAUAGUAAGCUUCCUUUGAUAAACUUAAUUUCACGUGUGUGUUUGUAAUAACCUUCUACCAUUUCCUCCUAUAAGUUUCCUUCUUUUUUGGAAAUCUUCAAACGCUGUAUUGUUUCCUCAAAGUGAGGGCUGCAGUUCACCGCAUCCUGUCAAACAGAUUUGAGAAAGUAAAUACCAAUGAGGCUGCCACCACAGAUGCUACUGUGGCAAUCAUAAUUUUCCAAUUCCAGGACGUCCAUAAUUUUUGGAAGGUUUAUUCCAAAGAACCUGUGUCUGCUUUUUUUGUAAUUGAAACAAAUUCUUAAUUCAGGUGUGACUGAACAAGGCCCAACGUGAUAUUUUCCCAAACUACAUGUACCCAUUUACCUAGAUAUGCAGGAGACAAGCCAUUACAAAUUGAUUAGCAAUUUUAAAACACAAUUAAAUACACAGAUUUAUCAUACCCAAGUACAUCCAUACUUUUCUCAUAGCCAUACUUUUUCCAAAAUGCCUGCUUCAAUACUUGCAAUAGGUAAAACGUACAUUCACCUAUGCACAAAAACCGAGGGAUGGAUCACUUUAAAUUCACUCCAUGGAAAAAUGCUGUUAUAAACAUUUUCCGCUGAAGCUUCCACUUACUCCCCUUACCUCUCCCUAUCCUGCAAACUCAACACAGACUCUCUUGUCUUACCAUACAACCACAGGACACCUCUGGAACAAAUGUACUUCUUAGAAGCCUCCCAUCCAAAUUUCCUUUGGCUUCAUUUUAUUGCUGCCAUUGCCAGAUUAAAUGUUUGAAAAACUACGACUAAUCAAAGAUCUUUCCUUCCUGAUCAACUGAACUUCUGUGAUUUAGGGCUAAAGAGCUAAUUUGGAAACAAAUGGGAUAGAGAAGGGGGAAAAUGGGAAAAGCAUCUAAAGCAAAUUCUUCAUGUAACUCUCCCUUUCAUUAAUACAGUCAUUAUUUUUACUGUUAGUACACUUCUGAGAUUUUCUGGGUAAUUAAAAAACAAAUUUUCAAAAAACAAAUUGAGGUAACUUUCAGACUAACAGCUUUAUUUCAGUGCAAUAUUUUUUGGAUUACAAUCCACUACUUCGUACUGAUGUUCGUAAUCCUGGAUUACGCUGUUUCUUUUUGAUUUGAAGAACCAGGGUACGAGGACCUCUAGUCUAACUCCAGUUUUAGUUACAACUAGAGCAGAUUCUCUUCAAUGAAUUGGGCUUGUUACUCAAUACUGACAAAAUUCCUACAGAUUUCACUGGAUCUACUCCGGUUUGACUAAAACUAGAUUUAGCCCCUGGAUUUUGUUUUCUGGGGUUUCAUCUCCAGUGAUGCAUCCUUACAAAAAAUAAAAAUAAAAAACUUCAGAGUAAAUUAUUCA